UGAGGAAUAUUGGUCAAUGGACGCAAGUCUGAACCAGCCAUGCCGCGUGCAGGAAGACGGCUCUAUGAGUUGUAAACUGCUUUUGUACGAGGGUAAACGCAGAUACGCGUAUCUGUCUGAAAGUAUCGUAACGAAUAAGGAUCGGCUAACUCCGUGCC
rnacentral:rRNA from 1 species